rnacentral:rRNA from 1 species
AUGGGGGCAACCCUGAUCCAGCCAUGCCGCGUGUGUGAAGAAGGCCUUCGGGUUGUAAAGCACUUUUGUACGGGAAGAAAUCGUUUGGGUUAAUACCCUGAGGCGGAUGACGGUACCGUAAGAAUAAGCACCGGCUAACUUCGUGCCAGCAGCCGCGGUAAU